UACAGAGGCCUCGAGCGUUAGGCGGAAUCACUGGGCUUAAAGCGUGUGUAGGCGGACUUCUAAGUGCCUUGUGAAAUCCCACGGCUCACCCGUGGAACUGCUGGGCAUACUGGGAGUCUUGAGCCACCUAGGGGCGAGCGGAACAAAUGGUGGAGCGGUGAAAUGCGUAGAUAUCAUUUGGAACGCCAACGGAGAAAUCCGCUCGCUGGGGGUGUGCUGACGCUGAGACACGAAAGCCAGGGGAGCGAACGGG
rnacentral:rRNA from 1 species